rnacentral:lncRNA from 1 species
GACUGCCCCGGCGGAGUCGGCCGCAGCGAGUCCGCGCGGGGCGGGGAGGGCCGGGCCGGGCCUCCCCUACCGCGCCGGGCCUGCGAGGGAGGGGAGGGACGGGGAGCCGAGGGGAGGGGGCGCCGGCCUCCCGGCUCAGCUGCCCCACUGAGGCCUGGACCUGUUGACUGCGAUUGGCCCGCCUCAUCCCGCGCCCUCUCUCUGCUCGCAGCGGCCCCAGCCCUUCCGCGGCGUCGCGGGGAGGAAAUGGGGAUGGCUGUCCUCCUCUCCGCCUCCUUCUAACUUUCCUUUUUUUAUUUGGGUGUGUUGGGGGGGGUGCUGAGAAAGCCCAGGCAACUCCACCGCCGCCCCAUCCUGCCUCCGAAAGUCUCGUCACGCCCGACCCGCCGCCGCCCUCCCAGCCCCCAUGACUUAAAACCGCCUCCCCUCCUCGCAGCGGCGCCCCGGCCCGGAGCCCGAGAGCCCUCGACGCCCCCGCCGCGCCUCCCCCGCCUGGCCUGGCCCAGCGGCGUCCCCAGCGAAUUGUGUCGCUUUUCUGCCCUGGAAGCUCCCUCGGCCACGUUCCACUUUUUUUCCCAGUCCCAGGAGGCGUAAGAUAAAACCUCUGAUUUGCUGCGUGCUGCCGGGCACAUUCUCUGCCCUCUCGUCCGAAGGACGAGUUUAAAAUGGAGAGUUUAAAAUAAUAGCAUUUACAGGAGGAAAUAAAGAGCGAGGAGAUGGUUCUUUGGCCGGUUUUAAGACAUACAUGCUUUUUUUUUCUUUUAAUACAAGAUGUCUUAAGGGUUAAAAGCGUUCUAGGGUUUGCUGUAUUUCCUUCUAGAUUUGGGGUUUCCUGAGGAAAUCUUUUCCGGAGGGAAAUAGCAAAUCAACAUUAAGAUGGAAGCGAGACUUCUCAGCCACUUUUGGAAAUGAAGGGGGAAAUUGUAAAAAUACAUUCAGAAAAGGGCGCGAAGGCGGCGGCUGAGGGGAAGAAGCUGGAGUCUUGGGAGGAAGCGCAGUGGGUUGGAAUCGGGGGAAGGAGGGCCCGCUAGGUCCGGGCGGGGAAGAAGGCGUGCGGGCGGCGGGGCGUGCGCCGGGCCGGGCAGCUGGAGGAAGGCGCGGCGGGACUGGCGAGCGCGAAGAGGCAGGCGGGGAAGGCCUCGGGGGGCGGGGGCCGGGCGCGGGGCCGGCGCGCCGGAGGAAGCGGGACCUGGCUCCUCGCGCCCGCCGGGCCGCCCCCAUUGUUCUGCCCUAGCACCGCUGUUAGCCGAGCACGUCCUGACCGAGGGAGGGGCCCCGCGGGCCAACCCGACCCCCGUCGGCGCCUCCCCGGGCUCCUGAGCUCCGGCCGGGUCGGGUCGGGCCGGCGCGGCAAGUUUUGAUGGUCAGACUCAGCCAGCGAGGGGUUCCCAGCUGAAGACCUCGGAGGAAGGAGCCUUUACAGCGUGCUGCGAAAUUGAAGGAAGCCGGGCGAGCCUGCAACGCACACGUUAUGAGAAAAAGGGAAAGCAACAUAGAUAUGUUUAUAAAGUGAUAAAUAGAUAAGAGACACCCGUGGGCAGUUAUUAUUCUGGAUCCGGAAA